rnacentral:rRNA from 1 species
CAUGCAAGUCGAACGCAGUAGCAAUACUGAGUGGCAAACGGGUGAGUAUAAUGUGGGAAUCUGCCUUUUGGUUUGGAAUAACACGGGGAAACUUGUGCUAAUACCGAAUAAGCCUUUACAGGGAAAGUUUUAACGCCGAAAGAUGAGCCCGCACUUGAUUAGCUAGUUGGUAAGGUAAAAGCUUACCAAGGCAAUGAUCAAUAGCUGUUCUUAGAGGAAGACCAGCCACAUUGGGACUGAGACACGGCCCAGACUCCUACGGGAGGCAGCAGUGGGGAAUCUUGCACAAUGGGGGAAACCCUGAUGCAGCGAUGCCGCGUGAGUGAAGAAGGCCUUUGGGUUGUAAAACUCUUUCGUCGGGGAAGAAAAUGACUGUACCCGAAUAAGAAGGUCCGGCUAACUUCGUGCCAGCAGCCGCGGUAAUACGAAGGGACCUAGCGUAGUUCGGAAUUACUGGGCUUAAAGAGCUCGUAGGUGGUUAAAAAAGUUGAUGGUGAAAUCCCAAGGCUUAACCUUGGAACUGCCAUCAAAACUUUUUAGCUAGAGUGUGAUAGAGGUAAGUGGAAUUUCUAGUGUAGAGGUGAAAUUCGUAGAUAUUAGAAAGAACACCAAAUGCGAAGGCAACUUACUGGGUCACUACUGACA